UACGGAGGGUGCAAGCGUUGUCCGGAUUUAUUGGGUUUAAAGGGUGCGUAGGCGGUUAAUUAAGUCAGUGGUGAAAUCCUGGAGCUCAACUUCAGAACUGCCAUUGAUACUGGUUGACUUGAGUACAGACGAGGUUGGCGGAAUUGAUGGUGUAGCGGUGAAAUGCUUAGAUAUGUUUUAGAACACCGAUUGCGAAGGCAGCUCACUAAGCCAAUAUUGACGCUGAGGCACGAAAGCGUGGGUAGCAAACAGG
rnacentral:rRNA from 1 species